rnacentral:piRNA from 1 species
UGCCAGUCCCACGGAGACGGCUUACC